rnacentral:rRNA from 1 species
AGUUUGAUCCUGGCUCAGGACGAACGCUGGCGGCGUGCCUAAUACAUGCAAGUCGUACGCUUCUUUUUCCACCGGAGCUUGCUCCACCGGAAAAAGAAGAGUGGCGAACGGGUGAGUAACACGUGGGUAACCUGCCCAUCAGAAGGGGAUAACACUUGGAAACAGGUGCUAAUACCGUAUAACAAUCAAAACCGCAUGGUUUUGAUUUGAAAGGCGCUUUCGGGUGUCGCUGAUGGAUGGACCCGCGGUGCAUUAGCUAGUUGGUGAGGUAACGGCUCACCAAGGCCACGAUGCAUAGCCGACCUGAGAGGGUGAUCGGCCACAUUGGGACUGAGACACGGCCCAAACUCCUACGGGAGGCAGCAGUAGGGAAUCUUCGGCAAUGGACGAAAGUCUGACCGAGCAACGCCGCGUGAGUGAAGAAGGUUUUCGGAUCGUAAAACUCUGUUGUUAGAGAAGAACAAGGAUGAGAGUAACUGUUCAUCCCUUGACGGUAUCUAACCAGAAAGCCACGGCUAACUACGUGCCAGCAGCCGCGGUAAUACGUAGGUGGCAAGCGUUGUCCGGAUUUAUUGGGCGUAAAGCGAGCGCAGGCGGUUUCUUAAGUCUGAUGUGAAAGCCCCCGGCUCAACCGGGGAGGGUCAUUGGAAACUGGGAGACUUGAGUGCAGAAGAGGAGAGUGGAAUUCCAUGUGUAGCGGUGAAAUGCGUAGAUAUAUGGAGGAACACCAGUGGCGAAGGCGGCUCUCUGGUCUGUAACUGACGCUGAGGCUCGAAAGCGUGGGGAGCAAACAGGAUUAGAUACCCUGGUAGUCC